rnacentral:rRNA from 1 species
UACGAAGGGGGCUAGCGUUGCUCGGAAUGACUGGGCGUAAAGGGCGCGUAGGCGGCUUACAUAGUCAGGCGUGAAAUUCCUGGGCUCAACCUGGGGGGCUGCGUUUGAUACGUGUAGGCUUGAGUUCGGAAGAGGGUCGUGGAAUUCCCAGUGUAGAGGUGAAAUUCGUAGAUAUUGGGAAGAACACCGGUGGCGAAGGCGGCGACCUGGUCCGAUACUGACGCUGAGGCGCGAAGGCGUGGGGAGCAAACAGG